AUCCUUUUGUAGUUCAUAAGCAUGAUGACUGCGUGUUCAUGUGCAUGUGUGAGAUGUGCCUCCCUCAAACCUUGUUAUGAUGUCGGCACACAUUACCCGUCUGACA
rnacentral:snoRNA from 1 species